rnacentral:lncRNA from 1 species
GCAGAACAUGGCUGCCUAACAGAUGGCACUGAAACCUGCCGCCUCUGGUAUGUUCCUUACAAAGCUAGAUAAAGCUCUCAACAAGGUCUUUAGGAAAACAAAGUCACAAGAAGAAAAAGAGCAAGAGUCUCUGAGUCAUUGCAUCUGCUUGGGGAAAAACCACUCUCUGAUGAAGAAUACUCACCUUGAUCUCUCCUGACAAAUUGCUGCAGAGAGAGAAAGCAUAGACUGAUAGAGAGGAGAAACAAGAAUGGUGAGAUAACGAAGGUUCACACAUGGUUCUAUCAUCCCCAGAUGGUUUUCUUCAAUGCAACCAUACUAUUCUGAUCUCUAAUCCUGGCAGUGUCAAAUGGAUGAUGCUUUCAAGAAUAAAUAUCUCUCAGAUUCAU